rnacentral:tRNA from 1 species
GCCUGGGUGGUUCAGUUGGUUGAACAUGGGACUUUGGUUCAGGUCAUGAUCUCAAAGUUUGUGAGUUCAAUUCCCACAUCAGGCU